UACGUAGGAGGCAAGCGUUUGUCCGGAUUUACUGGGCGUAAAGCGCGCGCAGGCGGCAGUGCAAGUAAGGUGUGAAAUCUCCCUGCUCAACGGGGAGGGUGCAUUUUAGACUGCACAGCUAGAGGUCGGUAGAGGGGGGGUGGAAUUGCUGGUGUAGCGGUGAAAUGCGUAGAGAUCAGCAGGAACACCCGUGGCGAAGGCGGCCCCCUGGGCCGGUACCUGACGCUGAGGCGCGAAGGCUAGGGGAGCGAACGGG
rnacentral:rRNA from 1 species